CUCGGCGAGUCAUUGGGAUUCCAGGUCAGAGGAGCGGGUCACUCCAGAGAAUCCCCGGCCACUCACAAAGGACGUCCCCUCCCAGUGAGCCACCUCCAGCCUCCAGGCCAACAGCCUCCCAGCAGGCAGACCUGGCCGAUGUCCCCUUCUGCUGGUGUAAAACGAAGGGAACGCCCACUUCAGAGAUCGCCACAAAGAUGAAAUGAGACGAUGUCUUUGGCCAACACUGUGAAUUCCAGGGCAGGAACAGCUGUGCUGCAAGAAGAGGCAGCUCCAGAACUGUCAACAACAAGCAGAGAGCAGGAGAGGGUGCCUCAGAGCCGUGCUGAGGGGAGCUCACCCUGCUCACCACAGCCUCGGACGUGAAGG